rnacentral:tRNA from 2 species
GCCCCAGUGGCCUAAUGGAUAAUGUACUGGCCUCCUAAACCAGGGAUUGUGGGUUCGAGUCCCACCUGGGGUA